AGAGUUUGAUCCUGGCUCAGGACGAACGCUGGCGGCGUGCUUAACACAUGCAAGUCGAACGGAAAGGCCCUGCUUUUGUGGGGUGCUCGAGUGGCGAACGGGUGAGUAACACGUGAGUAACCUGCCCUUGACUUUGGGAUAACUUCAGGAAACUGGGGCUAAUACCGGAUAGGAGCUCCUGCUGCAUGGUGGGGGUUGGAAAGUUUCGGCGGUUGGGGAUGGACUCGCGGCUUAUCAGCUUGUUGGUGGGGUAACGGCCCACCAAGGCGACGACGGGUAGCUGGUCUGAGAGGACGAUCAGCCACACUGGGACUGAGACACGGCCCAGACUCCUACGGGAGGCAGCAGUGGGGAAUAUCGCGCAAUGGGCGAAAGCCUGACGCAGCAACGCCGCGUGAGGGAUGAAGGCCUUCGGGUUGUAAACCUCUUUCGAGCAG
rnacentral:rRNA from 1 species